rnacentral:rRNA from 1 species
GACGAACGCUGGCGGCGUGCUUAACACAUGCAAGUCGAACGGAAAGGCCCUGCUUUUGUGGGGUGCUCGAGUGGCGAACGGGUGAGUAACAAGUGAGUAACCUGCCCUUUACUUUGGGAUAACUUCAGGAAACUGGGGCUAAUACCGGAUAGGAGCUCCUGCUGCAUGGUGGGGGUUGGAAAGUGUCGGCGGGUUUGGAUGGACUCGCGGCUUAUCAGCUUGUUGGGGGGGUAGUGACUUACCCAGGGUUUGACGGGUAGCCGGCCUGGGAGGGCGACCGGCCAAAUUGGGACUGAGAUACGGCCCAGACUCCUACGGGAGGCAGCAGUGGGGAAGAGUGCACGAUGGGCGGAAGCCUGGUGCAGAAACGCCGCGUGCGGGAUGACGGCCUUCGGGUUGUAAACCGCUUUCAGCAGGGGCGAAGCUUGUGGUGACGGUACCUGCAGAAGAAGCACCGGCUAACUACGUG